rnacentral:rRNA from 1 species
UACGUAGGGUGCAAGCGUUAAUCGGAAUUACUGGGCGUAAAGCGUGCGCAGGCGGUUUUGUAAGUCUGACGUGAAAUCCCCGGGCUCAACCUGGGAAUUGCGUUGGAGACUGCAUAGCUAGGGUGCGGAAGAGGGAAGCGGAAUUUCCGGUGUAGCGGUGAAAUGCGUAGAUAUCGGAAGGAACACCAGUGGCGAAAGCGGCUUCCUGGUCCAGCACCGACGUUCAGGCACGAAAGCGUGGGGAGCAAACAGG